ACCACCAACCACUCAAUGAUAGUCUCAUAGUUUAGUUCUUGUUAAGUUUGACAUUCUUAGAGGGUUUACUCCAAGGGCAAAAGGUUUUUUUUUCUAUGGAAAUUUUAACAGCUAAUGCAGCAAGCAUUGUUCCCUAGCUUAAAGAUGCUAUCAAGCUUUCCUUUUCAGGUAGAUUAGCUAGUAAAUAAGCGGUUACACGUGACUUGAUCAUUGGGA
rnacentral:lncRNA from 1 species